rnacentral:misc_RNA from 1 species
AAAGUGCGAAAAGUGUCAUGACUUGCAGAUUCCCGAGAGCUGACAAAUCUCUGAAUGCAAAUGGCAGCCGUCGCAAGACACGGCUAUGUAUCGUGGAGUGUAGAUGCUCCAGCUCAUCAUCACGAGUUCCUGCUCUAGCAGCAAGGGUCCGUGGAUCUGCGCUUCCGAGAUACCGGGAGCGUUAAGAGCAAAGGUGUUCUUCGCUCGACCCUACGAAGGCUUCAAAACCCUGCGUAGGUUAGAAGGAACGACCGACGAAUUAUAUUCGUGUUCGGAAGUAUAUGCAUGGUACGACUUCUGUCGUAUCAUUCUAACUUUUUCAUGAGCCACCUCCACGAUGCAUGAUGACCCGCUGAACUUAA